UGGCGCCCAACGUGGGGCUCCUGGCAUGAAGGGCUCAAUGAGGGAGCCGUCCUGAGACAUGUACGUAAAAGUGAAACUAAGAGUUUUGUGACCAACGCUAUGUGGGACCCUGCCAUGCAGCUAGAGUCAUGCUAAGUGAAUGGCGAUAUCCUUUCCCCUUUUUUCUGGCAUGGGUCAGGCAUUAAGUGAUCAUACACACUCUGUGUCAGAUUUAAGUAAAGCUUUAAAGACAAGAGGGAUAAAUGCUAAAGAAAAACAUUUAUUGCAGUAUUUUCAAUUUAUUCAUAAGUUUUG
rfam:Cavia porcellus supercont2_54 genomic scaffold, whole genome shotgun sequence.